rnacentral:rRNA from 1 species
UACGUAGGGUGCGAGCGUUAAUCGGAAUUACUGGGCGGAAAGCGUGCGCAGGCGGUUUUGUAAGACAGAGGUGAAAUCCCCGGGCUCAACCUGGGAACUGCCUUUGUGACUGCAAGGCUUGAGUGCGGCAGAGGGGGAUGGAAUUCCGCGUGUAGCAGUGAAAUGCGUAGAUAUGCGGAGGAACACCGAUGGCGAAGGCAAUCCCCUGGGCCUGCACUGACGCUCAUGCACGAAAGCGUGGGGAGCAAACAGG